GAUGAACGCUGGCGGCGUGCCUAACACAUGCAAGUCGAACGGAGGCCAGCCUUUAAGGCCUUCGGGUCAAAGAGGGGAAGACUGAGUGGCGGACGGGUGAGUAACACGUGGGCAACCUGGCUCAUAGAGGGGGAUAACAGAGAGAAAUCUCUGCUAAUACCGCAUAAGCACACACUGCCGCAUGGCAGAGGGUGAAAAGAGAAUCGCUAUGAGAUGGACCCGCGUCUGAUUAGCCAGUUGGCAGGGUAAGAGCCUACCAAAGCGACGAUCAGUAGCCGUUCUGAGAGGCUGAGCGCCCACAUUGGGUAUGCGACACGCCCCAAACUCUUUCGUGAGGCAGCAGUGGGGGAUAUUGCAUAAUGGGGGGACCCCUGAUGCAGCGACGCCGCGUGAGUGAAGAAGUAUUUAGGUAUGUAAAGCUCUAUCAGCAGGGAAGAUAAUGACAGUACCUGAAUAAGAAGCCCCGGCUAACUCCGUG
rnacentral:rRNA from 1 species